UACGUAGGGGGCAAGCGUUGUCCGGAAUCAUUGGGCGUAAAGAGCGUGUAGGCGGCCAGAAAAGUCCGCUGUGAAAACUCGAGGCUCAACUUCGAGCUGUCGGUGGAAACUUUCUGGCUAGAGUCCGGAAGAGGAGAAUGGAAUUCCUGGUGUAGCGGUGAAAUGACGCAGAUAUCAGGAAGAACACCCGUGGCGAAGGCGGUUCUCUGGGACGGUACUGACGCUGAGACGCGAAAGCGUGGGGGAGC
rnacentral:rRNA from 1 species